ACAACAACAUUUGGACCGUCGGUCUACCGAGCAAAUAUCACCCACUCGGUGGAAGAUCUUCCCCCCGUCUUUAAGC
rnacentral:pre_miRNA from 1 species